ensembl:lncRNA
CGAUAAUCUAUUCUCAAAGUUGGGUUGGGAGCUGGGUCUAUACUACCCAAGCUAUGAUGAUUUUCACCUUGAUAUUCUAGCGCGGAUGUAUACCUACGAGCGCGGAUGUUUACCAAGCCAAAUUGCACUGUAGGGGGCGAGAACGAGACGUGCUAGCAUGGAUGCAGCUACGAAGUCACCGGGUUUGCUACGAAGUCACCGGGUUUGCUUCAGGGAACAUUUUAUUUUCAAGAAGCUUCCCAAUGGAAACCUCGACAAGACGAAGUUCUUCAAGUCUCAAAUACCACCUAAACGCAAAGCAUCGCUUAGCUAACGCGGAAGAUGCCGGGCCAAGCGCUGAUGUAGCGCAGGGGAAGAGUCGUCGUCAAACUACUAUGUUUGAGUGCAACCGAGGCGAGCCCGUCAGCACGGCUCUAUCGGCCAAGCUAACGAAUCUCCUCGCUCAGUGGAUUGCCACCAGCUGCCGGCCCAUCAGCGUGGUAGAAGAUGACGGGCUCGAGCUUGUUCUUCAGGCGGCCAAAGAUGAACGAUGAGCUGGGUUUCCAGGGUAACGCAGUGAUGAUCUAAGAUGUCGGCCAUGUGAUCUCUGGGUUUGAAUUCUGCCCGUCAUCGUCCUUCAACCGAACCACUAAAAAUAAUGCUCACUCUCUUAUUACGUGAAGUUAUCUUAUGAUUCACACUUGACAAAAAGGUACCUGAAAACAGGCAGUAGGAGGCAUCACCAUGGCGACGCUUUUACAAAUAGAAGAAAGAACUGAAAAAUAAAAAGCGGACAAAGAGACGGAGGACAGAGUGAGAGGACGUGAGGAACCAGAUGAACCACCGGAGCCAAACUGGAGGAUUCUGUUGCAUAGAUUGAAGCAAACGGGAGGAUGUUUGAUCGAAACGCACAACAUGAGAGUGAAACACACACACACACACACACACAUACUUAGGGGGAAGCACAAGUUCUAUUUUGUUUCCCAAACAAACGGGCGUGAGCGACACCUUGCAGCCUGAAGACUUGAAGCUAAAUGCUAACGGUAGUUAUGCUAAUGGGGUGUUUGGCCGGUACAAAGGUCAACGGGUCCAAAGUCUUAGUUCAAACAACACGCAGCACAAACUACUUCAGAAAUAAAAUCAUGGACCUCGGGAGGGCGCUGGAGCAAAAGUCAGAAGGAUUCAUCAUCUGGGGAACACGAAUGUCUCCACAAACGCGACAAUACGUCAGAUUGCUGCAGAUGUUUGAGUGUGAAUUAAAGAAAUAAUUUCACUGGUUUGACAGAAGCAGCAGAGACUCUCUGCAGGAUGAUGGAUCACAGACAUCAAUGGAUGUGAUUGGUUAGAUGGUGACACGUGAUGACCUGAAGGUUUCAGGCCUGAUGUCUCCUCCUCCUCAGCGGACGUGACAGUUCUCCAAAGAGUCGCUUAAGAUCCGACAACAGGAAGCUGUUCUGAAGAAAAGAGGCGGCGCGGUCCAAAACAUCUGGAUGAGAGACGAGAGUCCCGCCUGCACAUGGCGGCCCGGUACUGUGAGGGCGACUCACCCGAGGGACAAUCUUAUCCAGGCAGCAGGUACCCCGCACCUGUUACGUCGUACCUGCCGCAGGAGCACAGCUGUUCAUCAGUUCAACCAAGAACAAAAACCAACGCGUCACCCACUGGAGCCAACGGGCGCACGGCGGGAAGAGGAAGUGAUGUCACGGCGGCGCUCUUUUCCAGGAAGGCUUCCGAAGCCGGCGGCGGUGGAAGGAUGUCAAUGACUCGCGGGCUCCGCCUCC